rnacentral:lncRNA from 1 species
UUGUAACCAAUUCGCAUCAUCUUUUCCAAAAGAAAUGGGAACAUUUUAUUGGGUGGGGGAUUAGAGACACCACAACACACAAUUCAGUCUUGUGGUUCGCUUCUAGGUGGUCGAUAGUUUAGUUACUGAAUUAAUUUUCUCUCUUCGCAGGGAUGCAGUGAUGAAAAGGCAAAUCCUUGUUGCUGACAUUUACACCUUAUUUGAUGUAGUUUAUUCCAAGGAAGUGUAAGCCAUGCAGCUACUGUAGCUUGAUCAGUCAGUUUCCACAGACAAACGCAGAGUACUCACUGAUAAAGACAGGUCUUCUGUUGACAUGCAGUAGCGCUGCUCCACAGAUGGAGGAUAGAUGUGUCGUGUGGCAUUGCCCAACAGAUGGCGCACCUCAUCAGAGACGUGAGUUAGCGUGAUGUUGUUGGAGUCCACCGAGUCAGCCUUGGUGUUGACCCGCUUGGCUAACUUGCGCAGAAAGAAGCAGCUGGGCAUCUCUCUGUACAGAUUACACAGAGUUUCCUCGUUCUGCAGGAACUUCCUGAGACUCAUGCCGUUUUCCAGCAGCAGGGUCACAAACUGAGGCUUGUUGCCAACUAGGGCAGAGAACAUGGCCUGGUGGAGGUCAGCAGACUACAGGAAGAAAGAUGUAUCGGCUGUCCUCAGUGAAGAUCUCGGUCUUGGCUAUGUCCACUCGGUUCCAGGCAACAGCCAGUUCCAGUUGGGUUUUCCAGCAAUCCAAUGUGAGUGUUUCACUGCUCCGAGAGGCUGUGUGGAACAUUUACAGAUCACAAUAUUUAUGAAAAAUUAUAAAUGCAUGAAAUAAUAUGAACAAUGAUUAUUCUAAAUUCUAAAUUUUUAUUUAUAAGAAUUUAAAGGCUUGAAAGUGCCACACAUUUGGUAGGUGGCAAAAGAUGUUUGAGACCAAAGAGGUUUUAGAAAACAAUGAGAACAAGCAGCUUCAUUUAUUAUUUCAUAGCUAUUAGUGGUAUAUAAUUUGAUUUGAUGAUAUUUGAUGCUUAGCUCAGCUCAGUGUCGGAAAGUGUUUGGCAAAGAAGCCUGGAGGGAUCAUUAACUCCUGACAAUCGUGCAGGACUCACAUGGUUUUAGCGCACUCUGGCUCUGAAUUCUCACACACGAGCUGCCUCAGACUCGCUCAGUCUGAACGGACUUAAGUACAUCAAUACAUUUAGAAGACACUCUGAAUCUUCCUAAAUAGAUUAAGUUAAUGACUGAUGCAUUUGAGAUCACUGACUUUGACCGAGACGGUCUAGGAUAAAGUCGUCUCAUCCUCACAGUCAUUCUGCGCAUUCACAGUGGUGCUUUUUUAUGGUUACCUUUCAAUAAUGCUUUAAGA